UAAUAUUAAAAAAUAUAUUUUUAAGAAAACGAUUACGCAUAUAUAAGUAUAGUAUUAUAAGGAAAUAAUAAUAAUAAUAAAAAACAGAAAUUGUACCAUACAUUAGAAUAAGAACCGGUCGGUGGACUCACGUCUCUUUUGGAGACAUUAAUAAGAUAGUCUAACUUGAACAGCGAUGUUGCUGAGUAACGCCUACCUUGAAAUAAAAAAAAUAAAAAUAAAAAUUGCAUGUUUUUAGAAUAAAAAAGGACAUGGGUU
rnacentral:misc_RNA from 1 species